UGGGGAAUUUUGGACAAUGGGGGCAACCCUGAUCCAGCAAUGCCGCGUGAGUGAAGAAGGCCUUCGGGUUGUAAAGCUCUUUUGUCAGGGAAGAAACGGUUCUGGAUAAUACCUAGAGCUAAUGACGGUACCUGAAGAAUAAGCACCGGCUAACUACGUGCCAGCAGCCGCGGUAAUACGUAGGGUGCAAGCGUUAAUCGGAAUUACUGGGCGUAAAGCGUGCGCAGGCGGUUGUGUAAGUCAGAUGUGAAAUCCCCGGGCUCAACCUGGGAAUUGCAUUUGAGACUGCACGGCUAGAGUGUGUCAGAGGGGGGUAGAAUUCCACGUGUAGCAGUGAAAUGCGUAGAUAUGUGGAGGAAUACCGAUGGCGAAGGCAGCCCCCUGGGAUAACACUGACGCUCAUGCACGAAAGCGUGGGGAGCAAACA
rnacentral:rRNA from 2 species